UACGAAGGGGGCUAGCGUUGCUCGGAAUCACUGGGUUUAAAGGGUGCGUAGGCGGCUUGGUAAGUCAGGGGUGAAAGCUUCCCGCUCAACGGGAGAACUGCCCUUGAUACUGCCAGGCUCGAAUUGGGUUGAGGCAGGCGGAAUGUGGCAUGUAGCGGUGAAAUGCUUAGAUAUGCCAUAGAACACCGAUUGCGAAGGCAGCCUGCCAAGCCUUGAUUGACGCUGAGGCACGAAAGCGUGGGGAGCGAACAGG
rnacentral:rRNA from 1 species